CACCAAUGUUAUUGGUACUGCAGAGUUAUACACAGUAUAUCCCUUUGCCAAUCAGUGACCUUGAUUCUUGGUUGAAGACACCCUCCAUUUAUGUUUUUGAUUGCUCUGCGGCUGGGGAAAUAUUGUGAAUGCUUUUAUUGAGCUUCAUGAUUUGGUUGCUUCUAGCUCCUCUGGAUCCACAAGGGAUUGCAUUCUACUUGGAGCUUGUGAAGCACAUGAGACACUUCCACAAAGUGCUGAAUUUCCUGUAGAUGUGUUUACGUCUUGUCUCACAACACCUAUUAAGAUGGCUUUGAGAUGGAUCUUGUAGGCAAAGGACACCAAGUGAAUUAGAUAGAGAGGUUAAGAACUUGAGGGUGGCAUUUACUGACAUGUUUUUGAAGCAUAACACUUUCAAAGAAACUGCAAAGCCA